UACGUAGGGACCGAGCGUUGUCCGGAUUCAUUGGGCGUAAAGAGCUCGUAGGCGGCCACUCAAGUCGAAUGUGAAACCUCGAGGCUUAACCUCGAGCCUGCAUUCGAUACUGGGUGGCUAGAGUCUGGUAGGGGGAUCUGGAAUUCCUGGUGUAGCGGUGAAAUGCGUAGAUAUCUGGGGGAACACCGGUGGCGAAGGCGACGUCCUGGACCGGCAUUGACGCUGAGGCGCGAAAGCCAGGGGAGCAAACGGG
rnacentral:rRNA from 1 species